UUGGUGACUCUCCCAUUUUCAAUAUCUCCCAAUUAUUCAGCAGGAGACCUGCUCGAAAUCCAAUUUAAUUUUGUUCUAAGUAGUGGAAAUUACAAAUUAGCUGGCGUGCACUCAGAAAUUAGUUUCCAUACGGUUGGUUAGGUUGAGAA
ensembl:ncRNA F12D9.16 ncRNA